rnacentral:rRNA from 1 species
GACGAACGCUGGCGGCGUGCUUAACACAUGCAAGUCGAGCGGUAAGGCCCUUUCGGGGUACGACGAGCGGCGAACGGGUAGGAGUAACACGUGGGUGGACCUCGCCCUCCAGCUCUGGGAGUAAAGACCUCGGGAAACGUAGGGUCGUAAUAACUGGAUAUGACUCCACGGUGCAUGUCGUGGGGUGGAAAGACCUUGUGCGGCUGAGGAUGGCCCGGCGGCCUAUCAGCUUGUUGGUGGGGUGAGGCCUACCAAGGCGACGACGGGUAGCCGGCCU